rnacentral:rRNA from 1 species
GAUGAACGCUGGCGGCGUGCCUAAUACAUGCAAGUCGAGCGAAUGGAUUAAGAGCUUGCUCUUAUGAAGUUAGCGGCGGACGGGUGAGUAACACGUGGGUAACCUGCCCAUAAGACUGGGAUAACUCCGGGAAACCGGGGCUAAUACCGGAUAACAUUUUGAACCGCAUGGUUCGAAAUUGAAAGGCUGCUUCGGCUGUCACUUAUGGAUGGACCCGCGUCGCAUUAGCUAGUUGGUGAGGUAACGGCUCACCAAGGCAACGAUGCGUGGCCGACCUGAGAGGGUGAUCGGCCACACGGGGACUGAGACACUGCCCAGACUCCUACGGGCGGCAGCAGUAGGGAAUCUUCCGACAGGGACGAAAGUCUGACGGAGCAACGCCGCGUGAGUGAUGAAUGCUUUCGGGUCGUACAACUCUGUUGUUAGGGAAGAACAAGUGCUAGUUGAAUAAGCUGGCACCUUGACGGUACCUAACCAGAAAGCCACGGCUAACUACGUGCCAGCAGCCGCGGUAA